rnacentral:lncRNA from 1 species
GCGUCAAUAUCAGUGUAUGGAUCUACAUCAAAGCCGAGGACUCGAGCCUCACUUAUAUGCUAGAACCUAGCUUUCAAACCCAGGUUUGAAAUUUUUUGGAUGAUUUGUUCAACAUUUGGGCAUGCCAAAAUGAGGUCAAUAGUAUAUUGGCAUGUUUUCGACAAACCAUAUAAGUCAUUACCUGAAUGCUUUUUAUGAAACCCCCACAUGUACUCCAAAGCAUCCCCGAGGAAAGGUGGAUGUAGAUUUUGUCUGACUUUGAUCAACGGUUCCUUUAUGGG